AUUGAACGCUGGCGGCAGGCUUAACACAUGCAAGUCGAACGAGGGGCGGACGGGUGAGUAAUGCUUGGGAAUCUCGUAUAUGGCGGGGGAUAACUACGGGAAACUGUACCAAAUACCGCGUAGCAGAGGCUGAGCCCAAGUGGGAUUCGGUAGUUGGUGAGGUAAAGGCUCACCAAGCCGACGAUCACUAGCUGGUCUGAGAGGAUGACCAGCCACACUGGAACUGAGACACGGCCCAGACUCCUACGGGAGGCAGCAGUGGGGAAUAUUGCGCAAUGGGGGCAACCUGACGCAGCCAUGCCGCGUGAAUGAUGAAGGUCUUCGGGUCGUAAAGUUCUGUCAUUAGCGAGGCGUUAACUACAGAGGAAGCCCCGGCUAACUCCGUGCCAGCAGCCGCGGUAAUAC
rnacentral:rRNA from 1 species